rnacentral:rRNA from 1 species
GACGGAAGGUGCAAGCGUUGCUCGGAAUCACUGGGCGUAAAGGGUGCGUAGGCGGCCGUGCAAGUCUGGCGUGAAAGCCCCGGGCUCAGCCCGGGAAGUGCGCUCGAAACUGCGCGGCUCGAGUGCCGGAGGGGAGAGUGGAAUUCCUGGUGUAGCGGUGAAAUGCGUAGAUAUCGGAAGGAACACCAGUGGCGAAAGCGGCUUCCUGGUCCAGCACCGACGUUCAGGCACGAAAGCGUGGGGAGCAAACAGG